UACAGAGGUCCCAAGCGUUGUUCGGAUUCACUGGGCGUAAAGGGUGCGUAGGUGGCGAGGUAAGUUUGAUGUGAAAUCUCCGGGCUUAACCCGGAAACUGCAUUGAAUACUAUCUUGCUAGAGGGUUGGAGGGGGGACUGGAAUUCUCGGUGUAGCAGUGAAAUGCGUAGAUAUCGAGAGGAACACCAGUGGCGAAGGCGAGUCCCUGGACAACUCCUGACACUGAGGCACGAAAGCUAGGGGGAGCAAACAGG
rnacentral:rRNA from 1 species